rnacentral:rRNA from 1 species
GACGAACGCUGGCGGCGUGCUUAACACAUGCAAGUCGAACGGAAGGGCCCGGCUCUUGUGGGGUUCUUGUGUGGGGAACGGGGGAGUAACACGCGAGUAACCUGCCCUUGACUUUGGGAUAACUCUAGGAAACUGGGGCUAUUACCGGGUAGGAGAUCUUGCACCAUGUGGGUGGUGGGAGAGUUCCGGCGGUUGGGGAUGGACUCGCGGCUUACCAGCUUGUUGGGGGGGUAGGGGCUUACAAAGGUUUUGACGGGUAGCCGGCCUGGGAGGGUGACCGGCCUCAUUGGGACUGCGGUACGGCCCAGACUCCUACGGGCCGCAGCAGUGGGGAACAUUGCACAGUGGGCCGAAGCCUGAUGCGACAACGCCGCGAGCGGAAUGCCGGCCUUCGGGUUGUAAACCGCUUUCGCCUGUGCCGAAGCGUGCGUGACGGUACUGGGUCAGAAAGCCACGGCUAACUACGUG